rnacentral:rRNA from 1 species
GGGUUGUGAGGUUAAGCGACUAAGCGUACACGGUGGAUGCCCUGGCAGUCAGAGGCGAUGAAGGACGUGCUAAUCUGCGAUAAGCGUCGGUAAGGUGAUAUGAACCGUUAUAACCGGCGAUUUCCGAAUGGGGAAACCCAGUGUGAUUCGUCACACUAUCAUUAACUGAAUCCAUAGGUUAAUGAGGCGAACCGGGGGAACUGAAACAUCUAAGUACCCCGAGGAAAAGAAAUCAACCGAGAUUCCCCCAGUAGCGGCGAGCGAACGGGGAGGAGCCCAGAGCCUGAAUCAGUGUGUGUGUUAGUGGAAGCGUCUGGAAAGGCGCGCGAUACAGGGUGACAGCCCCGUACACAAAAAUGCACAUGCUGUGAGCUCGAUGAGUAGGGCGGGACACGUGGUAUCCUGUCUGAAUAUGGGGGGACCAUCCUCCAAGGCUAAAUACUCCUGACUGACCGAUAGUGAACCAGUACCGUGAGGGAAAGGCGAAAAGAACCCCGGCGAGGGGAGUGAAAAAGAACCUGAAACCGUGUACGUACAAGCAGUGGGAGCCUCUUUUAUGGGGUGACUGCGUACCUUUUGUAUAAUGGGUCAGCGACUUAUAUUCUGUAGCAAGGUUAACCGAAUAGGGGAGCCGAAGGGAAACCGAGUCUUAACUGGGCGUUAAGUUGCAGGGUAUAGACCCGAAACCCGGUGAUCUAGCCAUGGGCAGGUUGAAGGUUGGGUAACACUAACUGGAGGACCGAACCGACUAAUGUUGAAAAAUUAGCGGAUGACUUGUGGCUGGGGGUGAAAGGCCAAUCAAACCGGGAGAUAGCUGGUUCUCCCCGAAAGCUAUUUAGGUAGCGCCUCGUGAAUUCAUCUCCGGGGGUAGAGCACUGUUUCGGCAAGGGGGUCAUCCCGACUUACCAACCCGAUGCAAACUGCGAAUACCGGAGAAUGUUAUCACGGGAGACACACGGCGGGUGCUAACGUCCGUCGUGAAGAGGGAAACAACCCAGACCGCCAGCUAAGGUCCCAAAGUCAUGGUUAAGUGGGAAACGAUGUGGGAAGGCCCAGACAGCCAGGAUGUUGGCUUAGAAGCAGCCAUCAUUUAAAGAAAGCGUAAUAGCUCACUGGUCGAGUCGGCCUGCGCGGAAGAUGUAACGGGGCUAAACCAUGCACCGAAGCUGCGGCAGCGACACUGUGUGUUGUUGGGUAGGGGAGCGUUCUGUAAGCCUGUGAAGGUGUGCUGUGAGGCAUGCUGGAGGUAUCAGAAGUGCGAAUGCUGACAUAAGUAACGAUAAAGCGGGUGAAAAGCCCGCUCGCCGGAAGACCAAGGGUUCCUGUCCAACGUUAAUCGGGGCAGGGUGAGUCGACCCCUAAGGCGAGGCCGAAAGGCGUAGUCGAUGGGAAACAGGUUAAUAUUCCUGUACUUGGUGUUACUGCGAAGGGGGGACGGAGAAGGCUAUGUUGGCCGGGCGACGGUUGUCCCGGUUUAAGCGUGUAGGCUGGUUUUCCAGGCAAAUCCGGAAAAUCAAGGCUGAGGCGUGAUGACGAGGCACUACGGUGCUGAAGCAACAAAUGCCCUGCUUCCAGGAAAAGCCUCUAAGCAUCAGGUAACAUCAAAUCGUACCCCAAACCGACACAGGUGGUCAGGUAGAGAAUACCAAGGCGCUUGAGAGAACUCGGGUGAAGGAACUAGGCAAAAUGGUGCCGUAACUUCGGGAGAAGGCACGCUGAUAUGUAGGUGAAGUCCCUCGCGGAUGGAGCUGAAAUCAGUCGAAGAUACCAGCUGGCUGCAACUGUUUAUUAAAAACACAGCACUGUGCAAACACGAAAGUGGACGUAUACGGUGUGACGCCUGCCCGGUGCCGGAAGGUUAAUUGAUGGGGUCAGCGCAAGCGAAGCUCUUGAUCGAAGCCCCGGUAAACGGCGGCCGUAACUAUAACGGUCCUAAGGUAGCGAAAUUCCUUGUCGGGUAAGUUCCGACCUGCACGAAUGGCGUAAUGAUGGCCAGGCUGUCUCCACCCGAGACUCAGUGAAAUUGAACUCGCUGUGAAGAUGCAGUGUACCCGCGGCAAGACGGAAAGACCCCGUGAACCUUUACUAUAGCUUGACACUGAACAUUGAGCCUUGAUGUGUAGGAUAGGUGGGAGGCUUUGAAGUGUGGACGCCAGUCUGCAUGGAGCCGACCUUGAAAUACCACCCUUUAAUGUUUGAUGUUCUAACGUGGACCCGUGAUCCGGGUUGCGGACAGUGUCUGGUGGGUAGUUUGACUGGGGCGGUCUCCUCCUAAAGAGUAACGGAGGAGCACGAAGGUUGGCUAAUCCUGGUCGGACAUCAGGAGGUUAGUGCAAUGGCAUAAGCCAGCUUGACUGCGAGCGUGACGGCGCGAGCAGGUGCGAAAGCAGGUCAUAGUGAUCCGGUGGUUCUGAAUGGAAGGGCCAUCGCUCAACGGAUAAAAGGUACUCCGGGGAUAACAGGCUGAUACCGCCCAAGAGUUCAUAUCGACGGCGGUGUUUGGCACCUCGAUGUCGGCUCAUCACAUCCUGGGGCUGAAGUAGGUCCCAAGGGUAUGGCUGUUCGCCAUUUAAAGUGGUACGCGAGCUGGGUUUAGAACGUCGUGAGACAGUUCGGUCCCUAUCUGCCGUGGGCGCUGGAGAACUGAGGGGGGCUGCUCCUAGUACGAGAGGACCGGAGUGGACGCAUCACUGGUGUUCGGGUUGUCAUGCCAAUGGCACUGCCCGGUAGCUAAAUGCGGAAGAGAUAAGUGCUGAAAGCAUCUAAGCACGAAACUUGCCCCGAGAUGAGUUCUCCCUGACCCUUUAAGGGUCCUGAAGGAACGUUGAAGACGACGACGUUGAUAGGCCGGGUGUGUAAGCGCAGCGAUGCGUUGAGCUAACCGGUACUAAUGAACCGUGAGGCUUAACCUUACAACGCCGAAGGUGUUU